UACAGAGGUCUCAAGCGUUGUUCGGAUUCAUUGGGCGUAAAGGGUGCGUAGGCGGCGCGGUAAGUCGGGUGUGAAAUCUCGGAGCUUAACUCCGAAACUGCAUUCGAUACUGCCGUGCUUGAGGACUGGAGAGGAGACUGGAAUUUACGGUGUAGCGGUGAAAUGCGUAGAUAUCGGGAGGAACACCAGUGGCGAAGGCGGCUACCUGGACCGGUUCUGACACUGAGGAGCGAAAGCGUGGGGAGCGAUCCGG
rnacentral:rRNA from 1 species